AAAAAAACAAGCAAACAAGCCAAACAUUUGGGACUUAAUAAUUUCCAGCAGUGGAGAGUCCACAGCAUCACUGGGUGAAAUUUCUAUGGGAGGACUGGAGACGUUUAUCCCAGACAAAGAGGGAAUGCUGUAGCUUGUUGCACCCUAAAAAGAUGUUAACCCCUGUAGACUAGUCACACCCUUACUCAGCUGCAAGGUGUUCAGCACUGGUUGAAGCCGGUGCCCUGGAUGGGUCCGCAUGAUGUAGAUGUCAACAGCAUAAGACAAGAAAUGUAAAACACAGUUAUUGUCCAUUGAUCAGCCUCCAGGGUGACAAACCAAGUCAUUU